AACGUAGGAGGCAAGCGUUAUCCGAAUUUACUGGGCGUAAAGCGUGUGCAGGCGGCUUGAUAAGUUGGGUGUGAAAUCUCCCGGCUCAACUGGGAGAGGUCGCUCAAGACUGUCAGGCUGGAGGGCAGUAGAGGGUGGUGGAAUUCCCGGUGUAGUGGUGAAAUGCGCAGAUAUCAGGAGGAACACCAAUGGCGAAGGCAGCACUCUGGGACGGUACUGACGCUGAGACGCGAAAGCGUGGGGAGCAAACAGG
rnacentral:rRNA from 1 species